CCACUAGCCCAGACUUAGCCAAAUUUCAGCAUUUUUCGUUUUCGCUCCGUUUUCGCUCGUUUUCGUGCGUUUGGCGUCCGAUUCAUUUCAAAUCGAACCGAGACUCGCCAAACAUGUUUUCGAGCAUGUUUUCAUCAUCUUUUCAUCCACGCUAAUGCCGGAUUUAGUCCAUGGUCCAACAUAGCAUUUCGGGUUCCGUUUACACGCCUACGCGCACCGAAACGCCCGAAUACUUCCAAACUUCACCGAACUUCACAGGAACCAUUCAAAUGGCUUUCCAAACCAAUAUAAACCGUAACUUCAUAAUUUUAGAAGUCCGAUACCUUACAAGGUUAAUUCUCAAUUCCUUAAAAAGAUUAUGACUUUGUUGGGAACGGAUCACAAAUGGUGCAGAUAGGUUGAUUUGUAUACUAUCAAUGCUAGAGUUGUACUUUUAGUGGAUGGGAGGCAAACCAAGUAGAUCAAAGUGAAAAGUUGUGAGUAUGAUAUAGGGACCCACUUUCUCUCCUUUUCUCUUUCUCAUAAUUGCUAAGAGUUUAGUAAGGACAACAUUACUGGUAGAGAGGAAUAACUUGAUUAGAGGAUUGGAACCUAUGCAGGUUAGCAAGGUAACACUUAUUUAGUAUGCAGAUGAUACGAUAUAUUUCGAUAAGGCAAAAAAGAGAUU
rnacentral:lncRNA from 1 species